AGCCUCCCUCCUCCCCACGAGAUCCCUUCUGCUCGAGUCGCCGAGGAGCACCUUCCCCUCCCCGUCCCCAAAGGCAGCUCCCGCACUCAACCCUAACCCUAGACCGCGCGCCCGCCCACCCCCGCUGCCUCGUGGCUUGAGCCCGCCCGCGCUGAUGGAGCCCAAGCAGCUGGCGGCCAACGUCGUCGCCGCCGCCGCCGCCGCCAAGCCGGAGGAGGACAAGGCAGACGAGGAGACGGAGACGGCCGAGGAUGAGGAGGACGCGCUGCUGGACCGCCCGCAGGCCCUCAUCUCCCGCGUCGUCGAGCAGGAGGCCAACCCCAAUCCGUACUUCAUCCACUCACGCGGAUCCGUUGGCUGCGAGUCCGGGCGCGUCGGAUCCGGUGGCCAUGGACCUACAGCUCCUCAAGGUUUGGACUUUCUGAUUUUCGAAUUACAUCAAACCUAUGUCUAGAUUGUAUAUUACACUGCCCAGCGUUAUUACGUUGUCUAGAUGGUCACACUUUUAAUGUUGAAUUGACUUCAGAUCUUCAAACAAAGGAUUUGCAGCAUAUAUAGAUGCAUUAAUGCCAAUCUUUAUCACUCUAAUACGUAUCUACUCCUACCUACUUGAAUCUUCUAUUCCCAGUUAAUUAGAAAAUUUGUUAUUUGUGGACAUCUCCUAAAUACGCAAAUUAAUUUUUAUGUUAACGAGCAGUACGUUCUGUUUUCAUUUGCGACUUGAAGGUCAGCAACGUAAAGUUUGAAUGCAUCUGAAGGCAUAUUCCAUCAUUGAAUAUAUACUAAUAUAAAGGCAGGGUUACAAUUAUGCGCAGGUAGAAAACUCGUCCAUCUGAAGAAUCACAUCCUAAUAGGAAUAGGGACUAUGGAUGACAUGUUGAUAGGAAUCUGAGAUGAUAAAAAAUAGCACUCAUCCAACUGCUAACUGAAUAUGCUGGAAAUUAGCUCGUAGUGACAUAUAUUAUUACUGUAGCAUACUGUCCUAGACUUGCAUAUUCAAAAUUAAUGCAUCUCAUGCAGUAGUGCCAUUUGUCGACACACCAUAUGAUAUAUGAAUGAAACCAUAAAAGUGUAUAUGAAACUGUAUAAUCUGGCACUUGGUUUCAUGCCUCCAGCAAUGUGAUGUCCUUUUUAUGUUAUCAUGGCGUAUUGAUAAUUAAAUGAUGAUUCACUCACCCUUGAUAAUGUCUCCUUCUCUUGAGCUAAGCACAUGCUGUCAACAUAACGGAACAACAUGGAGCUGCAGACAUGCACUUGGAGCACAGGUUGACUCGCAGAUGCGUCUGCAAUCUCCCAAACAAAUGAGUAGCACCGUGCAGUCGUGGGCUUGCAGCAGGUUGGCGGGUGAAUGGUCAUAGCGGGAAUAUAACGGGCAUGUCGACUGCUGCGAGUAUUUCAUUCAAGUUGACAACUACAGUUGCAAGAGCUGGGCUCAUGCACUUGGAAUUCUUUGCCACCUGAUAAUUAGUGAAGGUAGUAUAUCUCUGGAUCGUAAUUGGAGUGCCAACUCUUCUAACAGCUGGAUGGCCGUGACCAAUAUCAGAACUUCAAAACCCCAUUAAACAUUGUUGGUAUGAAUUGGGCUUGGAAAAUACUCGAUCGAGCAGCUCCUUUGUUCUACAUUUUGGUUCAGCCUUACACACUUCACCAGAGAAUUGCCACCGCACCUAAAAAACAAUACUUUCAAUUGUAUAAAGAAAUCCAUGUAUGUGUGACAACCUUUACACGAGGAGGGCAACAGCGUCGACAUGGCGAUCGAGUCACUCCUGAAUGCGGAGAAGCAGUGUUGCCUGGCUGGCGAUGUGGCCAGCACUAGGAAGGACAUCGUCGAGCUCUCUUUCAAGGAUGGCGCCUGGAAGACGCUUAACUACCAUAUCGUUCUCCUCUCUAAGAGGAGGGGCCAGCUCAAAGAAUGGCGUCAUCGGGGAGGACGGCAGUGGCGUGCCCGUGUUCGCGGAGUACACCCUCGACGAGCUACACGCCUCCACCGAUGGCUUCGCAACGGACCACAUCAUCUUCGAGCACUGCGAGAAGGAGCCUAAUGCCGUCUACCACGGACCCUCUUCAGCUCUGGCACCACCGUCGCCAUCAAGCGCUUCGACCGCUCCGCCUGGCCUGACGCACGCCAGUUCGUGGAGGAGGCUAGGGCAGUUGGGCUGUUGCAGAGCGGUCGCUUGUCCAACCUCAUGGGAUGAUGCUACGAGGGUGGCGAGCGGCUGCUCGUUGCUGAGUUCAUGACGCAUGAUACCUUGGCAGCUGUGAUUCGUAGUGUGGUUAGGGUUUGUUAAGUUUACUAGCUCCUUCAUUGAUGAUGGGUGGCCGGUGGUGCUUUUCUGCCGAGAAUUUAAAAAAUAACUUAUUCCCUGUGUCAUGCGGUUUAUGCAUCUCCUGCCUAUUUCUCUGUUUCAGAUAAUGGUCAUGUUUACACUCGAGUGUGUGAUUUAUGGAGGGGAGGUGCAGUCUAUCUGAAUAUUCAAUUCAUGCUUU